rnacentral:rRNA from 1 species
CUACGGGAUGCUGCAGUGGGGAAUAUUGGACAAUGGGGGAAACCCUGAUCCAGCAAUGCCGCGUGUGUGAAGAAGGCCUGCGGGUUGUAAAGCACUUUCGGUUGGGAGGACUGCUUCUAGCACUAAUAUUGUUGGAAGUUGACGUUACCUUCAGAAGAAGCACCGGCUAACUCCGUGCCAGCAGCCGCGGUAAUACGGAGGGCGCAAGCGUUAAUCGGAAUUACUGGGCGUAAAGCGCGCGUAGGCGGCUAGAUCAGUCGGGUGUGAAAGCCCCGGACUUAACCUGGGAACUGCAUCCGAUACUGUCUAGCUUGAGUACAGGAGAGGAGAGUGGAAUUCCACAUGUAGCGGUGAAAUGCGUAGAUAUGUGGAGGAACACCAAUGGCGAAGGCAGCUCUCUGGCCUGAUACUGACGCUGAGGUGCGAAAGCGUGGGGAGCAAACAGGAUUAGAUACCCCAGUAGUC